GUUGACAAGCCAUCACUCAACUGCACUCUGGAGAACAAUAUGUCCCAAAUAUUGCACAUUUAAACUUUCAAGUGAAAACUGUAUGGAAGUUAGGAGAAAUGAACCAAAGAAUCAGAAAGAUCAUACUCAGUGGCUACUAGACUAUUUCUUUGAACAUGCAACACAGGACACAGUUUACCAUCUCAUUUGUGGAAAGGAAGGCUGCAUGAAUUGUUGGAUGUACUGUUACAGUAUCAUCACAUUCAUUUAACACCUCGCCAUGUAAUGAACAUAAAUAAGUAUACACUGGUGGGUACAUCAACCCUAAAAGGAGGAAGACGAGUUGCUGAUCAAGUGGAAUAAAUAAACAUCAACUUCCCUACAUAUUGCAGUCUUCAGCUUGUGUAUUAUAUUUCGGAAUGAAUCUUCCAUUUUGGAAUUUAGGGGGAUGGGAGGGUUUUGGUUGAUUUACUUUUGAGAUGAUCAUCAUUACUGCAUCUUACCAACUCUGAUGUCCAAUAAGACAUAGAUCGAUUUUGAAGUGGCCCAAUUCAGGCAUUGACUGAUUAUAAAGUCAACCAAUAAAGACAUUGGCCGACUAUGGAGUUGCCAAUGCAGGCAUUGACCGACUCUGAUGCCGUCCAAUGCAAAAAUAAGACUUAUUUUGAAGUGGCCCAAU